AAAGGCGAUCUGCCGUGCCACAGUAGCAUAGCUUGUGAGAAGAUUCAUUUGUGGCAAGUUUCCAGCGAUAAUGACGAAGUUAAUUCUUGUGGUGUUUUUGGCUGUCCUGUCCAUAGCGGUCAUUGCAGCUGACGAUUGUCCCCCCAACUGUAGCCAGAGCCAGUGCACCUUCAUGGGAUGUCAGGACUGUGACGUGGGCUUCUGCGCCUACCAGGAGGGCAUAAAAUUCAAAUGCGUGAAAAAGUGCCCGGAUGGACAGUACUGCCAAAGUACCUACCGUAUGUGUGUCUAGGACGAGUGAGUCAGUCAACUGGGUGCUGGAAGCGAGCCAAGCUGAAGGAACAUCUGAACACUUCAUUGGGCUUCUGGCAUUGGUUAUUCCUUGUUAUAAGUAUUCAAUUAUUGAAUAAAAAUACUUUCAUAAA